UUAAUAUAAUUUCUAUUAUAUAUAGAUGGUAAAGUCAAAUACUUGGUUUCAUGUCAUUUGUAUACUAAUUCUAAUCAUUUGUGGUAUUCAAAAGGCAUAUAUUGAAGUUUGGACAAGGGAGUAGUUCUACUUCUCAGACGAUACUAUCGUCUCAGAGUAUUUUUUUCAUUACAUAAAGAAUUUGUAACUGAAGGAAAUGUCUUGUGUUGUGGUUGCGACAAUUAAGAUUGUGCAAGAAGAGUAUGGUUGGUUUUAUGUUGCCUGUCGUAAGUGUUUCAAGAAGGUGAUGGGUAAAAGUGAAUACUUGCAAAAUGUUGAGAAUGUUUCAGAUGAUAUUCUUCGAUUGCCUGCGACUUCUUUGGUUUGUAUCAGAUGUCAUACUGAAUGUACAUCGAUCACCACAAAGUUCAAGGUGCAAGUGCGGGUGCAGGAUGAGAGUGGUAGUGUUUCUUUU